rnacentral:rRNA from 1 species
UACGUAGGGUGCGAGCGUUGUCCGGAAUUAUUGGGCGUAAAGGGCUCGUAGGCGGUCUGUCGCGUCGGUCGUGAAAACUUGGGGCUUAACCCUGAGCUUGCGGUCGAUACGGGCAUGACUGGAGUUCGGUAGGGGAGACUGGAAUUCCUGGUGUAGCGGUGAAAUGCGCAGAUAUCAGGAGGAACACCGGUGGCGAAGGCGGAUCUCUGG